UGAGAAUGAUUGAUUGUGUGGAGUGGGCCACCGUAGGUGUCAAAUGUAUAAUUGGGCCGCACCCUAGUUUUCUCCUUUAGAUAGUGUAGAGGGUAUGAAUAUGGACCUGUGCCAAAGACAUCAACUAUAGCCUCACACUUAAAGAUCGUGUAAUCCGUAGACAACCCGCGUAACCCAGUAUUUGAACGAGUUGACAGGUUAUAUUUAUGGGUUGUAAUCCAUUUAGAAUACUUUAAACGGGUUGGGGAGUAAAGUGGGCCGCACCUUGUGUGCUUUGGUGUUAUGAGCGGCCGAGAUCCCUUGAAGCCCAAACAUAGCCAUGUGAGUUGAGAACCCAAACCACCAUUUGUGUGCUGGUGUACGGCAGCCCAAAGUAAAUGGGCUAAACUUUGACUAUUUAGAACACAUAUUACGUAGCAUAUAUUUGCUGGGUGAUAAACUCAACACAAAAACCCUACCCCCUUUCAUCUCCUACAUACGGCAGACCCCCACCACUAGCGCAACAUCCCUUUGUAUCAACAUCUGAAUCAAGUCUAGCUCUCGGGUUGGUUGGCUAGCACGGACGGGUAACAUAACAAAUCGAGCAAAUCAAAGGGUUGGUUGGCUAGCAUGGACGGGUAACAUAACAAACCGAGCAAAUCAAAGGUCGUUAGGUGAUUGAAACAGGAGCUUGUUGGCUGGAGAGCAAGAGUAGUCAUGGUCAUACCAACGGGAUUAUUUGUCAAAUACUUAUUUAUUAAGAUUGAAUUCAUAUUUACCUUAUGAUACUUUAAUGCUUCCGCUGAACUUGUGAUUUUGAAUAACUUAUGAUGAGAAUUGUUAUUACUUAAUUAAUGGAACUUUAU